UUGAGCCGGAUGCGGUUAAGUCGCAUGUCCGGUUCUUAGGGGGGAAAGGGGUAGCAAUAUCCCUGACCUACCCGAC
rnacentral:ncRNA from 1 species